GUACCGCUGAAGAGUCCCAAGAACUAGGACGAAACGGUUGUCCAGUAC
rnacentral:hammerhead_ribozyme from 1 species